CAAUAUGGGGAAGAAUUAGCUUCAGUCUAUUUGUUAAUACCUUUGCCGUAAUUUUAUAAAGAACAUUACACAGGCUUACAGGGCGUAAUUGUGUCAACUUCCUUAGGAUUUGCCCUGAUAAAACCAUAGCACGGAUUCCAUUACACACAUCAGGACCUACAAUCCCCCAGUGUUUUUAAUAAAACCCAGGAGACAUACCAUCGGGUUCAGGUGCUUUGGUGGGAUGCAUAUGGAAGACUGCACAUUCCUCAUCCGUGAUAGGCC
rnacentral:lncRNA from 1 species